UACGUAGGGGGCAAGCGUUGUCCGGAAUCAUUGGGCGUAAAGAGCGUGUAGGCGGCCCGGUCAGUCCGCCGUGAAAGUCCAGGGCUCAACCCUGGAAUGCCGGUGGAUACUGCCGGGCUGGAGUCCGGAAGAGGCGAGUGGAAUUCCUGGUGUAGCGGUGAAAUGCGCAGAUAUCAGGAGGAACACCAAUGGCGAAGGCAGCUCGCUGGGACGGUACUGACGCUGAGGAGCGAAAGCAUGGGGAGCGAACAGG
rnacentral:rRNA from 1 species